rnacentral:rRNA from 1 species
UACGGAGGAUCCGAGCGUUAUCCGGAUUUAUUGGGCUUAAAGGGUGCGUAGGUGGAUUGGUAAGUCAGUGGUGAAAGUUUGCAGCUUAACUGUAAAAUUGCCGUUGAAACUGCCGGUCCUGAGUGCAAAUGAGGUAGGCGGAAUGCGUCGUGUAGCGGUGAAAUGCUUAGAUAUGACGCAGAACUCCGAUUGCGAAGGCAGCUUACUGGGAUGCAACUGACGCUGAGGCACGAAAGCGUGGGUAUCAAACAGGAUUAGA